CCUAGUGGCGAACGGGUGAGUAACGCGUUGGUGACCUGCCCCAAAGUGUGGGAUAACAGUCCGAAAGGAUUGCUAAUACCGCAUGUGGUCAUUGGAUUUAGAAACCGAUGACUAAAGGAGUAAUCCGCUUUGGGAGGGACCUGCGUCCCAUCAGCUAGUUGGUGAGGUAAUGGCUCACCAGGGCUACGACGGGUAGGGGACCUGAGAGGGUGGCCCCCCACAAUGGAACUGAAACACGGUCCAU
rnacentral:rRNA from 1 species